rnacentral:misc_RNA from 1 species
AAGUCGUAACAAGGUUUCCGUAGGUGAACCUGCGGAAGGAUCAUUGUUGGGAAGUAGAGGGGGUUGUUGGAAUGAAAUUUAGAUACCGCGUGACAAUAUAUCAUUUUUCAAUAUGACUAGCCACCUGGGAUCUCUGGGCUCUU